rnacentral:rRNA from 1 species
GAUGAACGCUGGCGGCGUGCCUAAUACAUGCAAGUCGAGCGAACAGACGAGGAGCUUGCUCCUCUGACGUUAGCGGCGGACGGGUGAGUAACACGUGGAUAACCUACCUAUAAGACUGGGAUAACUUCGGGAAACCGGAGCUAAUACCGGAUAAUAUAUUGAACCGCAUGGUUCAAUAGUGAAAGACGGUUUUGCUGUCACUUAUAGAUGGAUCCGCGCCGCAUUAGCUAGUUGGUAAGGUAACGGCUUACCAAGGCAACGAUGCGUAGCCGACCUGAGAGGGUGAUCGGCCACACUGGAACUGAGACACGGUCCAGACUCCUACGGGAUGCAGCAGUAGGGAAUCUUCCGCAAUGAGCGAAAGCCUGACGGAGCAACGCCGCGUGAGUGAUGAAGGUCUUCGGAUCGUAAAACUCUGUUAUUAGGGAAGAACAAAUGUGUAAGUAACUAUGCACGUCUUGACGGUACCUAAUCAGAAAGCCACGGCUAACUACGUG